AACGAACGCUGGCGGCAUGCCUAACACAUGCAAGUCGAACGAGACCUUCGGGUCUAGUGGCGCACGGGUGCGUAACGCGUGGGAACCUGCCCUUAGGUUCGGAAUAACUCCCCGAAAGGGGUGCUAAUACCGGAUAAUGUCUUCGGACCAAAGAUUUAUCGCCUUUGGAUGGGCCCGCGUUGGAUUAGCUAUUUGGUAGGGUAAAAGCCUACCAAGGCGACGAUCCAUAGCUGGUCUGAGAGGAUGAUCAGCCACACUGGGACUGAGACACGGCCCAGACCCCUACGGGAGGCAGCAGGGGGGAAAAUUGGACAAAGGGCGAAAGCCUGAUCCAGCAAUGCCGGGGGAGUGAUGAAGGCCUUAGGGUUGUAAAGCCUUUUUCCCCGGGAUGAUAAUGACAAUACCGGGAGAAUAAGCCCCGGCCAACCCCGU
rnacentral:rRNA from 1 species